rnacentral:tRNA from 1 species
GCAUUUGUGGUUCAAUGGUAGGUAGAAUUCUCACUUUCUAUGUGGAAGACCCAGGUUUGAUUCCUGGCCAGUGCA